rnacentral:lncRNA from 1 species
UUUUAUUCACUUUGUAUUUAAGUACUACAAUUUUUUAUAUAAAGGUAAAACUGUAAAAUAAUUCACUUCUCAUUCAAGACAAAGCAAACAACUAAAUGCAAUAUUGAUUUCUAUUCCACACUCUCAUUCUAGUGUAAGUAAACAACCUUCUUCCACUCUCACUCCAUACUCAUAAUCUCAAGAUUUCCACUUUUCAUGAUUCCAAUCCAUUCCAAAAUGUAAAUGCUACCUAAUAAAUUUAUGAAUUGAAUGGUAAAAUGCAGAAAUGAUAUUUUUGAAAAUUUUGAGUAUAAAAUGUUAGAUUUCAAAGCGUGUGUCCAGAGAUGGCCAAUAGGUCAGACGGCAUGUGGCACGACACGUGUCCGUACAACAUGGCACGAUACGAGCACAUUUAUGUGGGCAGAUGGUACGGCAAAGCUUACAUGUGCACGAUACAAGCACAUUUAGGCAAACGAGUUUUACAAGUACGACACGAUUAGAAAUGGGAUAAAGCACGACACAUGAAAAGGUACGCAAUAAGCAUAUUUCACUUUUUAUUGAAAGUAAACUUAAAAUUUAUAACUUUACAAAUAACUUGAAAUUGAAUCUUUUAAUAUUUUUUUAUUAGCACAUGUUUUUUAAUUUCGUUUAAUGCUUA